UCCCGUGUCCAGCUGUUCAUCUCUCUAGUGCAGACACUAUAGAGAUGUUUGGACUGCAGUAUAAUGAGCAUGGUUGCCCCCAGUUCCUGUGGACUGGGACCAGCACAGGACCAAGACUGCCCGACCUCCUCCAGAGCAGUGCAUCCACUGCACAGUCAUCGUAAUGGACGUGGCACUAAGGAGGAUUGUCCAGCCGCAGAUGACGCUGAAGAACCGUUACAAGUCGCUAACACCAGUCUGCUUCAGCAGCUUGGUUGAAAUGGAGAUGAUGAUGCACUGUGCCCAACUAAUCAUACACGUGAUGCCUUGAGAGGUCGGGGUCAGAUUGUGAGUACUCCUCUGUUUUCCUGAUCCGAUGUGAGGUCAAAGGUCAGGGAUGUCUAUGUGUCCAGAUUGUAAUGCACUCCGAGACAAAUUUGUAAAUUGUGAAAAUGGGCUAUACAAAUAAACUGAAUUGAAUUGA